rnacentral:rRNA from 1 species
GACGAACGCUGGCGGCGUGCUUAACACAUGCAAGUCGAACGGAAAGGCUCCAGCUUGCUGGAGUACUCGAGUGGCGAACGGGUGAGUAACACGUUGGUAAUCUGCCCUGCACUCUGGGAUAAGCCUGGGAAACUGGGUCUAAUACUGGAUAUGACCUUUCUCCUUAUGGGGUUUGGUGGAAAGUUUUUCGGUGUAGGAUGAGCCCGCGGCCUAUCAGCUUGUUGGUGGGGUGAUGGCCUACCAAGGCGACGACGGGUAGCCGGCCUGAGAGGGUGAUCGGACACAUUGGGACUGAGAUACGGCCCAGACUCCUACGGGAGGCAGCAGUGGGGAAUAUUGCACAAUGGGCGGAAGCCAGAUGCAGCGACGCCGCGUGAGGGAUGACGGCCUUCGGGUUGUAAACCUCUUUCAGCAGGGACGAAGCGUAAGUGACGGUACCUGCAGAAGAAGCACCGGCUAACUAUGUG